rnacentral:rRNA from 1 species
AGCAAACGCUGGCGGCGUGCCUAAUACAUGCAAGUCGAACGAGGAAAGCUUUCGGGUGAGUACUAGUGGCGCACGGGUGAGUAACGCGUGGGUAAUCUACCAUCGAGUGGGGAAUAACUAAUCGAAAGAUUAGCUAAUACCGCAUAAGACCACAGAAGCUACGGCUUCAGAGGUCAAAGGAGCAAUUCGCUUGAUGAUGAGCCCGCGUCGGAUUAGCUAGUUGGUAGGGUAAUGGCCUACCAAGGCAGUGAUCCGUAGCUGGUCUGAGAGGAUGAUCAGCCACACUGGAACUGAGACACGGUCCAGACUCCUACGGGAGGCAGCAGUAGGGAAUAGUUGCGCAAUGGGGGAAACCCUGACGCAGCGACGCCG